AUACCAUAAUGUGGACAUUUUCUAAUCAAGUCCUUAAACCGUUCCCAUGCCUCAUAAAACUCUUCAUUUGGUUUUUGGGAAAAAGAUAAAAUAUUAGUUCUCAUGUC